rnacentral:rRNA from 1 species
CAACUUUCAACAAUGGAUCUCUUGGCUCCGGCAUCGAUGAAGAACGCAGCGAAAUGCGAUAAGUAGUGUGAAUUGCAGAAUUCAGUGAAUCAUCGAAUCUUUGAACGCACAUUGCGCCCCUCGGUAUUCCGGGGGGCAUGCCUGUUCGAGCGUCAUC